rnacentral:rRNA from 1 species
UGAGGAAUAUUGGUCAAUGGGCGGAAGCCUGAACCAGCCAUGCCGCGUGCAGGAAGGAGGCCCUACGGGUUGUAAACUGCUUUUACCCGGGAAGAAACCGCCCCCUGUGGGGGGCGUUGCCGGUACCGGUGGAAAAAGGAUCGGCUAACUCCGUGCCAGCAGCCGCGGUAAUACGGAGGAUCCGGGCGUUAUCCGGCAUUACUGGGUUUAAAGGGUGCGUAGGCGGGGCUUUAAGCCGGCGGUGAAAUGCAGCGGCUCAACCGCUGGAAUGCCGGUGGGACUGGGGCUAUUGGAUACGGUCGGGGCGGGUGGAACUCGUGGUGUAGCGGUGAAAUGCAUAGAUAUCACGAGGAACGCCGGUAGCGAAGGCAGCUCGCCGGGCCGGUAUUGACGCUGAGGCGCGAAAGCGUGGGGAUCGAACA